GAAGUGUCUGCUACGCGCCUGCCAUAAUGCAGCAACAAUACCAUAAAAUAUGGGCAAAUAAAAUGUUUUUGACACCGAAUUUAAAACGCUACCCAGAUAGGCUAUACGAACGUGCAACGAACAAUGCGCGCUUAAGUAGAUAUGUUGUGCUGUGCUAUGCGUAGCCCGGACUCCAGUGAAUCUUUCAUCGAUUUGUUGGGAUUGUAAUAGCGCAUCGAUUCGUUUUUCCGUUAUGUGUUGUCGCGCGCGCAAAGUGUGGCACCAGACACUUUGGCUAUGCCGGGGGGCGUCUGACCUGUUGGCGCUGACAAGCACUGCUCGGACAGUCAGACAUUGUCGGCCAACUCACUCUCCGUUUUAACGUCGCGACGACAGAAAUGUUGCUAUAUGUAUUUCUGCUGCAAAUUUGUUAUUUCUGUACGUUGCGUAGUCAGUUGCCACGAUUGUCGUUGAAAUUUCGAUUUCGUAGUUUGCAAGGUAUUGUGGUAUAGUGUUGAUAAAAAUAUGCAGAAUUUUAAACCUUAAACCAUCUCAAUUCACUUCUUUAAUUCUUGGUCUAUUUCAUCAGAUUCCUGAUAAAACUGUUUUAAGCUAAUGAUUAAGAAAGCUCUCAAAAACGUUCCAAUAUCUAUUUGAAAUUAAAAAUACUACCCUGUAUUUCAAGACUUCAAAUAGGAUAAUCAAUUUCUCUUUUAGCUAAUGCUCGGAAAUACCUAUUGAACAAAUUUUCUCCCACUUACUCCCCAUAUACAAUAUUUAAAAACUAGAUGUCGGUCCGUAAUACCAAAUUAGAAGUUGGAAACUUCGACUUAUUUUAAAUUUUAGGGUAGCGAACAAAGAUUUCGAUCUACUUUGUUCUAGAUUGGUAUAAAAUAUCAGGCAACCUAUUUAAAAAUAAAAUACAACUCUGGGCUUUUGUGAGUCGCUACUAUUUAGUCGACUACUUGAUUUUUUCGUUUGUCAUUUAUCGAUUUUAUUUGAAGCGAUAUUAUAUAGAGUACAGAUAUCGGGUAUUAAGUAAACUUAAAGUCGGAAAGGUAUUUAGUUUCUCUAUGAAAUCGCUUACCAAACAAAAUUUACCGUAUCAACAUAACUCAUUUCGGAAACUUCCUCCAAAAGCACCACGAAAUUGUCAAGGGUCCACGAUAAAAAACACUGACAACUCACACCUUUAGAAUAAACAAUAAGAUAGAACAAUCUUUACGCUUACAUUUCUGGAAACACUGUACUUAAGUAGCUUCCCUUCUCCUGUUGCUUGCUCUUAACUCCUAUACCCAACACCUUUAAUGCAACACACGAUAUUUUUACCCAAAUAUUUAUUUUACGUAUUUCGACGAAUGCAAAAUUUCUGCUUAUUAGCAUACUUGAAUGCCGCGCAGACAAGAUUGGGGCACAAGGAAAGGCGGAAGAGGAUUGCUUGAGUACAGCAAAGAGGAGCAACCAGGAAGUGGAAGCGAACGUGCAAAGAGUGUUGAUGGCAGAAACGCCUGUGACUAAUAAACGAAGAGGAAUUUCACAGCGCUGGCUUCUGUCAAAGGUGCUAUAUAAAAGAAAAGGAGGAUAAUAGUAUAACAACAACAAGCAACGACCAAUUUUUUUUUGUUUUUGUUAACGAAUUGAAUUUUGAUAAAUUACUAACGGUACAAAACAAAAGCAACACAAUCAUUAUGUUGUGUAAGUCGACAGUCCGGGAGAGGCUGCACGGUUCGCGAACUAAUACCAACAGAGUGCUUGUUCGUUUAGUGUGUGUUUUUUUGUUUUUCGCCGUCAACUUCAAUUUGAUUUUCAUAAAGUCAGUAAGGAAAGAAAAGAAAAAUGUUUUACACGUCAGAUUUUGAAGCUAAUUUUUUUGGAAGAAGACGUGGCAAGGUAGCUAGAAUCUGUAGUGUACUGGACUGUAACAUUUCGCCAGAAAAUCAGUGAGAGAAAACUAGUAUAAAAAUAAGGCGUAACGGUGUGCAAGUUUGCUGGCAAGUGAAAGGUUUAUAUACCCCGUGGACACUUAAUUGCUUAAUACUUAAGGGAGAUUACAACAACCGUUUUUAUAACAUACGAAGCUUAAAGUUAAAUAUAAUCCCUCUGCAAGACCUAAAAGACGGGCGAACAGCCAGAGCGCCACAUAGUGAAAACCAAUUUUGCUCAAGCAUACUUUAAGGGGCUAUAUCUACUUGCGAAAUAGAAAAAGCUGGUUCGAGCCGAUUUCCAGGAGCAAGAUGGAGAUUUUUACGAAAAUACGUUUUAGACUUAAGAGUGGCUUAAAACUCGAAACUAUUAUCAUAAUUCUUAUUUCUUAAAUCCACCCGACAAACAUAUCUAUGAAGACCGUGUGAUAAUCGAACGGCCCUUCCGCUUCGGAGAAAUUUCGCUCACCGAUUUUGUAUACACCGUUUAAAGUUUUGAUAGCCAGAUAAUUGAUCAAUUUCAAAUUAUCGGAGACUAUUUUCAAAUAUAUGUAGAUUCGAUAUACAUAUAUGCGUCAACUAUUGUUUUUUGAAAUUCACAAGUGGAUAUAACCUCUUAAGCAGACAACCCUAAAUUCUAACUGUUCUUUUGUAAUUCUUAUAAUUGUAUACUUAUUUAUAGACUUUCCUACCCAUUUCAGGUAACAAUUAGUGAUCCUUUUCGAAUACAUUUUGUGCAGAGCGUCACGUGGUGUAAAA